rnacentral:miRNA from 1 species
GGUCAGCUGACACAUCCCUGCCAAUCUCCGGCAGACCCUCCCUCCCAGACCCUCUUACUUCCUGGACAGCAUCCAUGUUGAAGGCAGCUUCAAUAUGGAUGCUGUCCAGGAGGUGGGAGGGUCUGGGAGGGAGGGUCUGCCGGAGCUUGGCAGGGAUGUGUCAGCUG